AAGAUAUUCAACCCGUUGAACCUAAUCAGCAGAAAAGUGAUAAUUCUGAACUGAUGUGUGCUGCAUGUGGUCAAAGUCUUACUCCCAACAACACUGCUUGUUUGUUGGAGCACCAGCAGACACCUUCCAUGAAUGAAGUUUGUGAAGUUUGCUGGGGCCAAGUAUGCAAUUUGAGCUUCUAUGUUCCAGAUGGUCUAUGUUGCUUCAAGCUAAAAUAAAGUCCUGCCACUCUUCUCCUAGAACUUAUUUUGUUUUCAUAGUUGCAGAAACAAAUAUGAAUAGCCGGGACACAAUCAAAAGUGAUUGCUGUAAUUGUAUUGUAGGUUUAAGAACAGUGGGAUGCUGCUCACAUGUUAUGAGCAUUCUUUGGUAUUUGAGUUAUGCUUGCCAUGAGGGUAUGACCCGACCUGCCCCUUUCUUGGAUGAAGUAAUAUUAAGAACCAAUCAAGUAAUUAUAAGAAAAUAAAGUAAAUGUAUUCCUACAAAAACUAAGUUGUUUUAUUUACCUACGCUCAAAACUCCAUCAGCACUUAAUCAUUAUCAAACUAUUGUAGACCGCUGCUGGACAUAGGUCACUCCUUAAGCACCCUACUGAAUGGGUAAAUUCUCAUGUCAAUUUAUCAACUUCCUACAUUCUUUUUCAC